GAUGAACGCUGGCGGCGUGCCUAAUACAUGCAAGUCGAGCGAACAGACAAGGAGCUUGCUCCUUUGACGUUAGCGGCGGACGGGUGAGUAACACGUGGGUAACCUACCUAUAAGACUGGGAUAACUUCGGGAAACCGGAGCUAAUACCGGAUAAUAUUUCGAACCGCAUGGUUCGAUAGUGAAAGAUGGUUUUGCUAUCACUUAUAGAUGGACCCGCGCCGUAUUAGCUAGUUGGUAAGGUAACGGCUUACCAAGGCGACGAUACGUAGCCGACCUGAGAGGGUGAUCGGUCACACUGGAACUGAGACACGGUCCAGACUCCUACGGGAGGCAGCAGUAGGGAAUCUUCCGCAAUGGGCGAAAGCCUGACGGAGCAACGCCGCGUGAGUGAUGAAGGUCUUCGGAUCGUAAAACUCUGUUAUUAGGGAAGAACAUACGUGUAAGUAACUAUGCACGUCUUGACGGUACCUAAUCAGAAAGCCACGGCUAACUACGUGCCAGCAGCCGCGGUAAUACGUAGGUGGCAAGCGUUAUCCGGAAAUAUUGGGCGUAAAGCGCGCGUAGGCGGUUUUUUAAGUCUGAUGUGAAAGCCCACGGCUCAACCGUGGAGGGUCAUUGGAAACUGGAAAACUUGAGUGCAGAAGAGGAAAGUGGAAUCCCAUGUGUAGCGGUGAAAUGCGCAGAGAUAUGGAGGAACACCAGUGGCGAAGGCGACUUUCUGGUCUGUAACUGACGCUGAUGUGCGAAAGCGUGGGGAUCAAACAGGAUUAGAUACCCUGGUAGUCCACGCCGUAAACGAUGAGUGCUAAGUGUUAGGGGGUUUCCGCCCCUUAGUGCUGCAGCUAACGCAUUAAGCACUCCGCCUGGGGAGUACGACCGCAAGGUUGAAACUCAAAGGAAUUGACGGGGACCCGCACAAGCGGUGGAGCAUGUGGUUUAAUUCGAAGCAACGCGAAGAACCUUACCAAAUCUUGACAUCCUUUGACAACUCUAGAGAUAGAGCUUUCCCCUUCGGGGGACAAAGUGACAGGUGGUGCAUGGUUGUCGUCAGCUCGUGUCGUGAGAUGUUGGGUUAAGUCCCGCAACGAGCGCAACCCUUAAGCUUAGCUGCCAUCAUUAAGUUGGGCACUCUAAGUUGACUGCCGGUGACAAACCGGAGGAAGGUGGGGAUGACGUCAAAUCAUCAUGCCCCUUAUGAUUUGGGCUACACACGUGCUACAAUGGACAAUACAAAGGGCAGCGAAACCGCGAGGUCAAGCAAAUCCCAUAAAGUUGUUCUCAGUUCGGAUUGUAGUCUGCAACUCGACUACAUGAAGCUGGAAUCGCUAGUAAUCGUAGAUCAGCAUGCUACGGUGAAUACGUUCCCGGGUCU
rnacentral:rRNA from 1 species